AGGGAAUAGUAUUGAUUUCUUUUCUAGAUCAGCCAGGGAUGUUACAAUGGAAAUUUUAAAAGAAACCAAAGAGAAUUAAGAUGAUGAUUAGUAUGGAUCGGUUAUCUUUAACAAAAGGGCAACCAAAAACAAAGGACGAAACAAACAGAAAAACGAAAAGAAAAGACGCUCGAAAUUAAAAAGGUUCAAAAUAGAAGACACAGCAGUAUUGAACAAUGACUGAUACUUCAAUUUCUUAACAAUUUUCUCUUCAAUAAUGAGAGUGGACAAGGGGGAGGAAGAAAAUAGUAUACACUCGCACGCUUUUAUAAAGCAAAGUU